UUCUCUAUUUUGUCCGCAAGCUCGCCCUCAGCUGCCAUGCCCAUGCCUCCAUUAGCCUCGAGAGAGUCAGCGAAGGCGGUGCAGAAACACGGAGAGAGAGAGAGAGAGAGAGAGCUCCUCGAGCACUUUGUUCUUGUUGUAGGUCUAGUUACCCAUUCCAUAUCCACACGCAAGACGUCCUCCGUCCAUGGCGAGAAGAGCCAAAGAAGCACCACCUUAGUACGAACUGGCUUGGAAAUCAAGCCCCGAGCAGGCGGUGAGGACAUGGCCGCCCUCUUUCUCCGAGGUUCUUGCUGGUGGACUGAAGGUGGUGGUGUUGGUGGUGGUGCCUGUGAUUGAGGAGGAGAUGGUGGUUGGACUUGCCCGACACGGGGGACACCGAAGAUUCGCCGUUGUGCGACUUGGUGCUGGUGGCGACGCCGGUCGGUGAUCAAGAAAAUGGAGGAAAGUGUUUUUCCAUCUCAUUCCAACGAGGCUGCUGUGACUCUUUAGUAACUGAAAGUCCGUCCCAAGAAGAUUGUAGUGUGAACACGUUGCUCGAGGGUGACAAUGACUAUGUACUGUAUAUGUACGUACAUUUGUAGGCCCCAAAUGAGGUUGAGAAUGCUGGAUCGUACGUACUACUGAUGGUUCACAGAGUUUUAUAAACGGAAAAGAUGACUUGGAUAUCUUUUUCGGAGCUCAAUCUGUAAGUCACCUUGAUCAUGAUUAGGCGAGGUCUCUUGAUGAUUGAUUCAGAAGGCAUUUCUGUUCGAAAAAAAAGAAGAAAACUUUCACGAUCAAAUCAGGUUCUUCUCUCUCUCUCUCUCAGUGGAAAGUCGGCCUUUCUAAGGCCAGCGGGCCCUUUUCCUUUCUUUCUUUCUUGAAAUGAACCCAGAACCCCUGUCAGAGGAAAGAUCCAUCGUGAUUAUUUCAACUGGCCACAAAGAUUUCGCUGAUACUCAUGCCUUCCUGUUUCCGAGAAAGCUAAGGCCGCGCUUUCCUCAAGGCCACGCAAAUUUGGAUUACUCAUCGUCCUCAUUGGUACUACUCACCCUAGAUUAGAUCCUGUCAAAUGCACUGUCAUGUCCGUGUAUCUUCCCCGUUCAUUCAUAAAUCACAUAUUACAUUAUGCAGGUUUUUUUGUGGGAUUUCGCGUGAACAGAAGGCCAUGAUGGAAUUUUCCGCCUCACCAUGAUGAUCCAUCAAGAUUUGCAUUCCAUUCAUAGCAUAACAUGAUGCUUAUCAGGCAUCUUAAUUUCACUGAUUUACCUCAAUCAGGCCCCAUCUGACCUCAAAUCAGGAGGACCACGUUAUCGGCCAUUAGAUCAAUUUUCUAGGUUCAGUUGUACUUGUAGGUGUCGAUUCCGUGUAUUUAUCGUUUGUUUUCCUGUCAGUUUGCCAGACAACUAGCUGGCUUUCAAUUUUUCAAGGAAACAAGUUUUCAUCACUACCUUGAACAACAUCAUGGAGUUGGCCUCGUUACGCGUCGUUGGCUUUGGACGGUAAAAUAAGACACCACCACAAAAUAUCUGUGAUCAACCAAUCUCGACGAAAGCAAUGCAGCCUUAGCGUUGGGUUGGUGGCAAGUUAUUCAUAAUGAAGGAAGAUGAUCCUCCUCCGUUGCCGGUUGCCCCUGCUUCGUCGAGUCCCAUUCAGGCUGCUGCACCCUUAUUGGAACGCCAUGUGGAUGUCUCAUUCAUUGGAAAGUCGUUGGUGGCCGGAGAGUAUGGACGAUUUUUUCCAAGAUGCACAGUCCAACAUAAAGCCCCAUACACAUAGAGAUUACUCCCAAGAUAAUGAUGAAUUGUUCCAAUGCGUUAACACUCAUCUCGUUGAUGCCUCGAACUUGACACAUUUCAACCAGAGAAGAUUGAAGGAAAGAAGGCUUGCAAAAUUUGGACCGGCGGCACAGUUCCAAAAUGGCAUUCCGAUCAUCUUCGCAAUCAGAGUGAAUAACAAAGUCGUCCAAAUUGUUGUUGAUCUGCAAAAUUGGAAUUGAAAUGAACUGUCCCAUUUGGUAACUGUCUCGGUCUACUUACCUUGAUUGUAAACUGAUCAAUGAUUUCGUUCUCAGUCUCACGAAGAACCGAGUUUUCAAUGAGUUCGGAGCCUCCUGGAUCCUGCUCACUUUUGCCAUAGUUUCGGUUCAUUUCUCAUCGUUUCAAAGUGACCUCUAGGAUCUUAGUUGGAACUUGAUAUUUCACUCCAACACUCACCAAGACACUUGUUCCACACUCGUUAAUGACAUUUAUGACUGCUCUUGGCGGAAAUGCCGACGGCUGAGACAGUUACGCCCCCUCCCUUACAAAGUACAUCCAUCUUCUCUUUGAAAUACACCAGAGAAAAGGUAUAUGUACGUAUACUGUACGGCGACUCAAUGGAUAGUUCACUAAGGACUACGAGAUCUUUGCCUGAACUUGUUAAUGCCACUCAAGGCAUUAUUUCAACACUUGCUCACCCACAUACCUCACUAAGCCUGUGCGGAACGCUCGUUUCCAAUUCAUAGGCCAAUUCAUUCGUAGUGUAUGAAUUAAUUCGUUAGUAGUCAGUGAUUGUUAAUGGUCUUAAAGCGAGCGGAUUUGCCGACAUUAGCUUGAGAUUUAUGUACUGGACUGAAGGUUUUUUCCUUCUAGCCCAGAGUAUGAUGCAAAAAGGAUUCUAAUUGUGAUUGAUUCUGAAACGGCUACAAAAAUGUCGUGUUGAAGUAACAUUUUUGGACAAAAUUAUUGACUGGAACAUAUGAAACUUCGACGUUGAAAAUGACGAUUUUCGAUCAGUUUGAAUUUCCAGCCUUUUUACUUUGACAGGGAUUGCUCUGAUUGCUCCUUCGACUUUGCUCACCCGUACUUUCAACCAAUGACAAACCUUGUUUACAUUUUGUUCGUAUUUUGUGACAUCUCAGUCCAUCCCAAUUGGAUCCGAGUACGAAAGAUGCUAGAAGAAGCGGUCUUUUGGGAACGUGCCUUGGAACAAGAGGAUUACUGCAUGCAUUUCAAAUACAAAAAGAAAACAAAGUGGAAG